UUUUUUAGUUUUUGCGAGAAAAUGUAUUUUUUGGUUAUAGCGGAAAAAUAUAUAUGUAAAAAAAUAGAAUUUACGGUUUGAAAAUAAUAUUUUGAUUUUAAAAGGUCAUUUUUGUCAUUUAUCAUUUUGGACUCAACUAGAUGCAUCCGCAUCUAGAUGCACCAUCAAAACUCACCUUCAUUUGGGUGAGAAUUUGAGAUGAAUUUUUAAAAAUUCAGCCGGUUGAUCCAUCUGGAUGUAGCAUUAUAAUGCACAAAACGAACAUCAAUUUGCAUCUUCACCUAGAUGGAUCACCUGGGUGAGCAGACGAACAAGGUCUAAUUAGGUGGACCACCUGCACGUAUAUGCGGACAUUAGUAUGAUUAAUAUAUAUAUAUAUAUCUUUAUAUAUAAAGUAGUGUUUCAUCCCUUCUGGCGCUGCCACGUCGUUAAGCAGGGGGAGGAAACGCUGUCACGUGUCCCAUUCUUUUAAAAACGCUGCAUUCGUACGGGCUUUGCGUUUUGUUGGGCCAAAUCAUCUCUUUCUCUAGCCCAUAAGGGUAUACUUGAUGAAACACGACGUUUUCCAUUAGGGCCUUCUUCGUCUCUUUUCCGUCUCCAACGCUAAUGGCGAUUGGGGUUUCUAAUACGCUCUUUCAUCUUCUUCUUCACUGUCUGAAACGAUACAUGUAACGGAGUCAUCCUCUUUAAACCCUCAAACGAUCACCCACAAUCUACAUUCAAUGCGACAAUCCCCAAAUCUCGCCUUACGUAAAUCACAAUUCUAGCGUUCUUCAUAUUAGGUCAAUCCAAAUCGGAUCGUAAGAUUUCACCACAUCUGUUCUGAACUUAGAAAGAUGUCUCAGAACGGGAAGAUGGUCCCACCAAAUAUGGAUCAGAACAGUACAAGGCUACUUAAUCUCACAGGUCUCCAGUGAAUCGAUCCUUUCAUCGAGGAGAUCCUUAUCACAACAGCUCAUGUUACCUUCUAUGAAUUCAACAUUGAGAUCAGUCAAUGGGUAAGUUGCAAUCACUAAUCGUAUGAGGUUGUUGAUGUCUGCUUUGUUACUAACUGAUCUGUGUGGUUUUUUUUCUUUUCAAUCAGAGUCGUAAGGAUGUUGUCAAAAGGUGAGUACUUUAGAUCUUCAUCUAUGCGUGAUGUUGACUUUUAUCUUCUAAAAAUCUGAUUUUGUUUUGUUUCAGAAGUAAACAACAACCUCGGUUUCAGUUUAUUGUAAUGAAUCGUUGGAACACAGGUCAGCCAGAGAAGCAUCAAAUUACUUUUUUUUGUUGAUGUCUUUGUCUUUGAUUAGUCGCUUCGUUUUGUCAGUGUUUUAGUUUGUCUAAAGCUAAGGGAUAAGGUUAGGGAAGGUUUAGAUCGUUAGUGAUGUUGCUUACCCGGUGAUUUUGUUUUGAAUUCUUGAUUAAGGAGAUUGUAUUAGUAAUCAUCAGUGUAUUGUUUAAAUUUUGCCUGGGUAGAUAUUCUGGUGGAAGAUCUCCUCAGAGAUUUUGAGCAUGAAGUCCAAGGUCCAUAUUUACUUUAUCGUAACACAUCUCAAGAAGUAAAUGGCAUUUGGUUCUACAAUGAACGUGCAUAUGAGGAGGUUGCACGUCUUUUUGACGGGUACAUAUAUACACAUCACGUUGAAACUGAUUUUUGUGAUUGGAUAAUCGCGAAAAUAAAACUAGCUCCAUGACUCCAUCAUCAUACGUAGGUAUCAUCAAACAAGUAAUAAAAGGAGGAUAUAAGCUCCAUUGAGCCUAUCCACGUAGACAUGAAAAAUCAACCAAUGAAAAACCUUUUCUCUCUUUUUAGAGUGCCACAUCAUUUCAGAGAGAUGGGCGAAAACGGACACGUGCCACAGAAUGACGUUUCGGGUUUUCUUAGCUUCGUCAUCUUCGAUUUUAGCGGUUCAGAUGUCCAUGGCUGCCGACUAAAUAUGGACCUUCUCUUUAACUACACCAUUAAUCCAAUCAUUAAACUACACAUACCUCUCCUACCACUCCGUCCCAUUUAUUCAGUCUCAUCAUCGGCGGAGGUACAACUACAACCUCGAGCUAUAAAUGAGUCCGUUUGAUGCGAUGAACAUCUCCACCGCAAACACAUAAUCACAUUCACUCGAUGUCAAGGCCUUCAAACCCUACACGACUGGGUAUAGCUUGAUUCCUUUUGAAUUGACUUGAUAUCGAGUGGGGUUUGUAACUGGGUGUGGUGUGAUUUUUUAAUCUGUCUUUCGGUUUGCCUUUGAUCGAUUUUUGUGGGUUUCUGUUUUCUCCUCAGUAAUCUAUGAAUCCUUACUGAUCUUAGUGUGGCUUGAUUGUUGUUUUUGGUGAUAUGAUAUUUAUAUAUUCUAAUCAGAUCCGAUAUAGUCUAUGGGGAAGAUUUAUUAUGUCCAUUAACACUUUCGUAAGUCCUUCUGUUCAAGAGUUUGCUUACACAUGUAUAUCUAAAUUUGAGAUGAUAGAGAGCUUUGCAUCAACAGCUUGAAAUGGUUAGACUACCUUGGAGACCACAAAGAGGCUUAUAUGAAAAAUCUGUCUCUGUACUCCGCGCUUGGUUCUUUGAGCAUUUCCUUCAUCUGUAGGUGUUAAUUACAAUAAAUCAUUUUUUGCUUCUCUUUGUUUAAUUAAUAACCAUAUCCAUCUCAAGCUUUUUACAGAAAUCCAAAGGAAUCAGAGCAAAUCAUGCUUGCAUAGAAAACAUCUAUAUCGAAAACAUGGUAAAGGCUAUGAUACUUUGUUGCUGGCUCAAUUUUUGGUCUUCCUUUGAUUUGAGUGGUUCUCUGGUUUUGACAAACUUUAGGUUGUGAAUUGGUUUAUUAAUGCGAGAGUUCGGCUAUGUAACCGAUUAUCAAAGAGACGUAUAAAGAAUAUUUUGGUGAUGCAUCAGAGCUUACACCAAUUCCAGGAUAUCUUCAACGCCUACGAACUGCUCAUCCAGACAGAUUGAGUUGGUGGCACUGUAGGUGUAGUGGAGGUAGGAAUCAAGUUCGCAGAGGUCCAGGCAUGUCUGGAAUGGAGUUCUUUCGACGGAGCGUACGUUUUGUGUAAAGAAAUUUUGUGGAAUCGCUGAUGAGAUAAGAGAGACGAAGCAAGAAACGACUAAAAUGAGAAGGAGGGAAGAAUGUGAAGCCAUGGCUGAUGAGUUCUGGUCUGGUGUUUGAUAAGACACUGGACAUGUAAUCUUUGUUUAUAUAGACUGACCUUAUAGGUUAUGGUGUUUGAUUCAGUGCACUGCAUGCUUAUACGAUGAAGGAAGAAUGAGAGACUGAGAGACUGUUUUGAUUGGCCACAUGAUGAGUUGACUGCUUAGACAAGAAAGUCACCUUCACGAUGUGAAUUGGUGUUUUGUUGUGAAUUAGUGUGUGUGUGUGUGUGUAGAGCAUGUGGACAGUGCGUGUUCUUUCGUUGGUUCACUUACUGCAAGUGGCGUCUCUGAUAUGUACAACACACUAUUUGAUUUAUCUCUAACAUGUUUUUCACCUUUGUAAGAUAGAAUGGAGUGCAAAACGUUUAUUUUGUACCGCUUUAGGAGACUAUUAUCAUGGUACCAGUUUUAUCAAUAUACGACUAUUCAGAAAA